rnacentral:rRNA from 1 species
GAUGAACGCUGGCGGCGUGCUUAACACAUGCAAGUCGAACGGAAAGGCCCUGCUUUUGUGGGGUGCUCGAGUGGCGAACGGGUGAGUAACACGUGAGUAACCUGCCCUUGACUUUGGGAUAACUUCAGGAAACUGGGGCUAAUAUAGGAUAGGAGCUCCUGUUGCAUGGUGGGGGUUGGAAAGUUUCGGCGGUUGGGGAUGGACUCGCGGCUUAUCAGCUUGUUGGUGGGGUAGUGGCUUACCAAGGCUUUGACGGGUAGCCGGCCUGAGAGGGUGACCGGCGACAUUGGGACUGAGGUAGGGCCCAGACUGCAACGGUAGGCAGCAGUGGGGAAUAUUGCACAAUGGGCGGAAGCCUGAGGCAGCGACGCCGCGUGCGUGAUGACGUCCUUCGGGUUGUGAACCGCUUUCGCCUGUGACGAAGCGUGAGUGACGGUAAUGAGUAAAGAAGCACCGGCUAACUACGUG